GACGUAGGGGCUAGCGUUGUCCGGAUUUAUUGGGCGUAAAGAGCGUGUAGGCGGCCAGGUAGGUCUGCUGUGAAAACUCGAGGCUCACCUCGAGAUGUCGGCGGAAACCACUUGGCUAGAGUCCGGAAGAGGAGAGUGGAAGUUCCGUGGUGUAGCGGUGAAAUGCGCAGAGAUCGGCAGGACACCAGUGGCGAAGGCGGCCACUAGCCCGCACCUGACGCUGAGGCGACGACAGCGUG
rnacentral:rRNA from 1 species